GACGAACGCUGGCGGCGUGCCUAACACAUGUAAGUCGCACGGGACUGGAGGGCAACUUCCAGUUCAGUGGCAGACGGGUGCGUAACACGUGAGGAACUUGUCCAACGGCGGGGGAUAGCCGGCCCAACGGCCGGGUAAUACCGCAUACGAUCAUUUGGGGGCAUCCCUGAAUGAAGAAAGCAGCCGCAAGGUUGCGCCGAUGGAGAGUCUCGCGGCCUAUCAGCUAGUUGGCGGGGUAAUGGCCCACCAAGGCGACGACGGGUAGCUGGUCUGAGAGGAUGGCCAGCCACAUUGGGACUGAGACACGGGCCCAGACUCCUACGGGAGGCAGCAGUGGGGAAUCUUGCGCAAUGGCCGCAAGGCUGACGCAGCGACGCCGCGUGUGGGAUGAC
rnacentral:rRNA from 1 species